AUGCACGCCGGUGGCCGCGCCGCCGCGCCUGGCGGAGAUGCCACCACCAACCCUGCCUCCCCGUACUUCAUCGACGCCACCCACCCGUACGCGGCCGCUGCCGCUUCCGCGCUCACCUCCCACCGCUCCAAGUCCAAGUGGUCCCAGCUCGCUUCCCUCCAGCUCCCCGAUCCCCUCCCCGCGUCCGCCGCUUCCGCCAUCCUCCUCCUCCGCCGCCAUCGGCCCCACGUAGCCCUCAGCUUCCACCAAUUCGCCCUCCGCCGCCUCCUCCCCGCCCGCUCCCCUCCCCCGCUCAUCCUCUCCGCCUCCGCCGCGCACGUCGCGGCCGCCUCCCGCCUCCGGCGCGUGGCCAUAUAUGUCCUCUCCUCCGCCACCUGCCACUACUCCCCCUCCCAGAUCUUCAAUGCCAUCGCCGCCACCUUCCACCGCUUUGCGUCAGCCCCCUUCGUCUUCGACCUCCUCCUCCUCGCUUGCCACCGCUCCCGGCGCGAACCCCUCGCGGCGGCCUCCAUCACCCGCCACUACCUUGCCUCCGGCACCUGCCCCCUUCCCUCUACCGCGGCGUUGCUCUUCCGCUCCCUUCCUUGCGCCGAGUCCGCCCUCGAGAUGUACCGCCAAAUCUACACGCGACCGGGUCCAAGAACCAACCGCGUGCUCCAGCCGACGGCACAGACCUUUAACUCCCUCCUCCUCGCUUUCUACCGCCAUGGCAAGUGCGAAGAUUUCAACAUUGUGCUCGACGAAAUGGACAGGUACUCUUGCAAGCACAAUGUGGGCACUUACAACAUUCGGAUGGCUGCGUGCUGUGAUGACAGGGAGAUGGUGAAGGUAUGACGAUUGUGGAAUGAGAUGGUUCAGGGAGGGAUCCAACAAGAUGUCACCUCAUACGACAUGAUGAUUGGUGGGUAUUGUGCUGCCGGGGAGGUGGGGAUGGCAGAGGAGAUGUUUAAGGACAUGGAGAUUUGUGGGAUUGAGCCAAGUGUUACAACAUUCGAGUGGUUGGUCAGAGGGCAUUGUAGGACAGGGGAUGUU
rnacentral:rRNA from 1 species